UACGAAGGGGGCUAGCGUUGCUCGGAAUCACUGGGCGUAAAGCGCACGUAGGCGGAUUGUUAAGUCGGGGGUGAAAUCCUGGAGCUCAACUCCAGAACUGCCUUCGAUACUGGCGAUCUUGAGUCCGAGAGAGGUGAGUGGAACUCCGAGUGUAGAGGUGAAAUUCGUAGAUAUUCGGAAGAACACCAGUGGCGAAGGCGGCUCACUGGCCCGGUACUGACGCUGAGGUGCGAAAGCGUGGGGAGCGAACAGG
rnacentral:rRNA from 1 species